UUACCUAUAUUAAAAAUGAUAUAAAUCGAUUCAGUAAACGAUUCUGAACAAACUAAUUUCAGGAUGUGCGCUAAUUAAGUUACAUGUUGUAUAUUAUACAUGUAUAGCCCAAAAAAAUUGGUAUUAAGUAAGCCGGUAUCAUACCGUGUGAAAACUCAAGAUUUUCUAUAAAUAUGUAGGUACAUUGGUUAAACUGCAGUACGCGGGUAUUCUAAGAGUGGGUUGCACCAUUUAACUAUAACGAUAACCGAACUAUUUUCAAUUGUCAAAUCACCAAUUUGACUAAUGGGCGGCAAGUUUGAGGCUAGUUAUGGUUUUGAGUAUCGUUAUAGUUUAAUGGUGCAACUCAUUCUAUCAUGUUUUCGGUAACUAUGUUUGCUUGAUCGGAAGAAAGGGGUUAUUUAGCAGAACUCUUUAAUGGUUUCUAGUAAGCCUUUAAACUAAAGAAUUUACUUUCUGCUCCUAUAGGAUUUUCAACUUAAUUCUUUGUAAGAAAAGGAAAGACAAAAAAUAUAUUGAUUAUUCUUAGGCCCUAAGUUUAAUUUCAUGAAUGACUUUUUGAAACAUACAAAAAUAAAUGUAGUUAAUCAUUUAUUUAUUGUUCAUGGAAAAAUUCAACAAUUUAUUUAACUGUACAUAUAUAACUUUAACCAUUACAUAUUUUUGUUUCAUUUAUUUUUAGAUAGGUAGCUAGUUUGUAUGUACACAUGUAAUUGCAAUAACGUGUGAAAUUAUGAUCUCUUUAAUUUAAUUUAGGAAUUUUUACAAUAAAGUUUUUUUAAUUUAAACUUCACUUGUUUUAUUUUUAUUAAGCUUCUUUUCCAUACUUUGUAUCGGUAGUUUGGGAAUUGGUGCUUUCAUUAAAAACCUUUGGUUGCGAAAAUAACAACCCCACAAUAUGACAAUUGAUUAUUUUUAACACAAAUUAAUAAUCUUUCCUACUUUCAUCAACUGCCUUAUGUUCCUUAAAAUAAAAUAGAUUAGUUGCGACCAAACUCUCACUUAACUUCUUCAGUUUAAAUGAUUUUUAUAAUCCACCAGUCCCAUGGAAACUACUGCCCGUAUCCGAAUAAAAUAUAGCCAAUGUUAAAUAAGGAUAACACCACCACUAAUACUGAAAGAAUUUUUCAAGUCGGUUCAGUCGGAGUCUUAAAGUAAAGAAAAAAAAAAACAAACUAUUUUUUCUUAUAUAUUAUAUUAGUAUGGUUAUGUCAGAGGCAGAUAACACUUGUGUUAUUCUGUGGGGCUGCGGGUUGUUCGAAAGAGAUACCGCGGCCCUAGCACAUAAAAAGGCCUACGACGGAACACGACGGUUUUUAGUCAGUAAGAGUCUGACACUCCCUCACCGCUGCUAACCCACAGCGGGAGGGGUCAUUUGAUGAUUUUUGACGUCGUUAAAAAAAAAAAAAAAAAAAAGAUAACACUUGUGGUUUUGGUUGUAGGUUACACUUUUGAGCUUAUGUAUGCUCGUGAUGUUAACUGCGGAUUACAAUAACCGAUCCAUCCGUGGUUUCUCGAUAAGAUAUUGAAUUUGACAUAAUUUAUAUAAAGCUAAUGUUUAAUUAUUAUUUUGUACAAAAAAAGGUGUAACCAAAGUUAUGUAAGUAACCAUUGUGUUUUUGGUAUUUCCUGUAUUUACUAGAAGAAACAUAACAGAUUAUCUAGCAAUAAUUUUAGCAAAAUACAACAGUUACGUCAUAGCUUAUCUGUUAUGUAGUGGUUCCGAUAUCUCUGUCGGCGCAUGUGACGUAGUGGCCAGUAGCAUCGGCUGCUAAGCUACGGUAUCGGAUGGUACGGUACCAUUUGCUGAACUUGAGCGCAAGUAAUGUUAAGGAAACAUAAACUUUAAAGUAUUUGCCACUGCUUUAUUACCUAUAACAAUAUUCUUGACGAUAAUAUACAUACCUAUUCGCUUCGCAGUAUUUUAUUCAUGCUUAAUGUUGUUUGUAUGAAUGAAUCACCAAAAAGUAAACUUAAAACUAAACCUCAAAAAUCUCAGAGAUAAAGAGACUUUAAUUCAGAUUUAAAAAAUAAUGGGUUUCAAUAAAAAAGGUUUAAUUAAAAACAGGCAUAUCAUAAAAUCAUCAACGAUAUAAUUUCCUUAUUACACUUCUUAGGCGUUGCUGUUGAUCCAGGAGGUGUAUUGAGAUACGCGAGCGUUCACACCAGGGAAGUUAGCGAGACCGCAUCCAAUACCGAAGGAGCAGACUCCAACAACGAUGCCGUUGUGGUAGAGAGGACCGCCGGAGUCUCC
rnacentral:lncRNA from 1 species